rnacentral:rRNA from 1 species
GACGAACGCUGGCGGCGUGCUUAACACAUGCAAGUCGAACGGAAAGGCCUCUUUCGGGGGGUACUCGAGUGGCGAACGGGUGAGUAACACGUGAGUAACCUGCCCUUGACUUUGGGAUAACUUCAGGAAACUGGGGCUACUACCGGAUAGGAGCUCCUGCUGCAUGGUGGGGGUUGGAAAGUUUCGGCGGUUGGGGAUGGACUCGCGGCUUAUCAGCUUGUUGUUGGGGUAGUGGCUUACCAAGGCUUUGACGGGUAGCCGGCCUGAGAGGGUGACCGGCCACAUUGGGACUGAGAUACGGCCCAGACUCCUACGGGAGGCAGCAGUGGGGAAUAUUGCACAAUGGGUGGAAGCCUGAUGCAGCAACGCCGUGUGCGGGAUGACGGCCUUCGGGUUGUAAACCGCUUUCGCUCAUGACGAAGCUUUGUGUGACGGUAGUGGGUAAAGAAGCACCGGCUAACUACGUG